rnacentral:rRNA from 1 species
AGAGUUUGAUCCUGGCUCAGAAUGAACGCUGGCGGCAGGCCUAACACAUGCAAGUCGAACGGGUCCUUCGGGGACUAGUGGCGGACGGGUGAGUAACGCGUGGGAACAUACCCUUUGGUACGGAAUAGCCUCGGGAAACUGGGAGUAAUACCGUAUGUGGUCGAGAGACGAAAGAUUUAUCGCCAAAGGAUUGGCCCGCGUUGGAUUAGGUAGUUGGUGGGGUAAUGGCCUACCAAGCCGACGAUCCAUAGCUGGUUUGAGAGGAUGAUCAGCCACACUGGGACUGAGACACGGCCCAGACUCCUACGGGAGGCAGCAGUGGGGAAUCUUAGACAAUGGGGGAAACCCUGAUCUAGCCAUGCCGCGUGAUCGAUGAAGGCCUUAGGGUUGUAAAGAUCUUUCAGGUGGGAAGAUAAUGACUGUACCACCAGAAGAAGCCCCGGCUAACUCCGUG